rnacentral:rRNA from 1 species
GACGAACGCUGGCGGCGUGCUUAACACAUGCAAGUCGAACGGAAAGGCCCUGCUUUUGUGGGGUGCUCGAGUGGCGAACGGGUGAGUAACACGUGAGUAACCUGCCCUUGACUGUGGGAUAACUUCAGGAAACUGGGGCUAAUACCGGAUAGGAGCUCCUGCUGCAUGGUGGGGGUUGGAACGUUUCGGCGGUUGGGGAUGGACUCGCGGCUUAUUAGCUUGUUGGUGGGGUAGUGGCUUACCCAGGCUUUGACGGGUAGCCGGCCUGAGAGGGUGACCGGCCACACUGGGACUGAGAUGCGGCCCAGACUGCUACGGGAGGCAGCAGUGGGGAAUAUUGCACAAUGGGCGGCAGCCGUAUGCAGCAACGCCGCGUGCGGGAUGACGGCCUUCGGGUUGUAAAACGCUUUCGCCUGUGACGAAGCGUGAGUGACGGUAAUGGGUAAAGAAGCACCGGCUAACUACGUG